rnacentral:lncRNA from 1 species
GUCUUCUUUCUCCUCCUCCCUUCGGCCCCGAGUGCCCCCUCGGGACGAGCCUCUGGAGCGGGAUCUUCGAUCGGGGGGCUCCUUGAAAAGGCUCGGGGGACUUCAGGUUCGAUGUCAGAAGGGACAUCGAUGGCAACGACCACCUGAGCAGGCGCGGUCGAGCUUGUCCCUUCUGUCCUGGCUUUCUUCACCGACCCCGAAGUCGAGGCAUCUUUUCUCUUGUGGGUCUUGAGAUC